UAUUUCUUUAGACUUUAUUUCUUAACAUUAUGUAGUAUCAGGUAUGUCUGGUUGUUUAGAUUAUCAGUCUUUCUUAAUUUACAUUUCUUGUGUUCUUCAUUAUAGGCAAUCAAGAUGAAAAGCUCCCUGAACCGAAAAAAAGUAAAUUCUCACAAAACAGCCUUGUAAAUUUGGAAUAAGAUUUGCAAAAUCACUAGAACAUCAUGAUCAGAAGAGCACA